CCUACGGGUGGCAGCAGUAGGGAAUAUUGCUCAAUGGGGGAAACCCUGAAGCAGCAACGCCGCGUGGAGGAUGAAGGUUUUCGGAUUGUAAACUCCUUUUGUCGGGGAACAAAGGGCGCCACGCGUGGCGUUGUGAGUGUACCCGAAGAAAAAGCAUCGGCUAACUCCGUGCCAGCAGCCGCGGUAAUACGGAGGAUGCGAGCGUUAUCCGGAUUUAUGGGGUUUAAAGGGUGCGUAGGCGGUCCGGAAAGUCAGCGGUAAAAGCCCGGGGCUCAACCCCGGCGAGCCGUUGAAACUGUCGGACUAGAGACGGCGAGAAGUACGCGGAAUGCGCGGUGUAGCGGUGAAAUGCAUAGAUAUCGCGCAGAACUCCGAUUGCGAAGGCAGCGUACCGGCGCCGGACUGACGCUGAGGCACGAAAGCGUGGGUAUCGAACAGGAUUAGAUACCCUAGUAGUC
rnacentral:rRNA from 1 species